AGCUUUUCUAAUGGUGUAGUUUUUUAGCACCCAAAGGGCCAAUAUGGUUCUAUUUCUGAGCCAUUAUAGACCACAAGAAAGGCCAAUUUAACCCCUACUUUUUUAACCAGAGCUAUUUUGGCCCUCUCAGAAGAGCACAGUUUCAGCCCCAAAGAAGAGCUGCUUUAGAGCCGAAGGAGCUAAUAUAGCUUUUUUCAUGGUGUAGUUUGUAGCACCCAAAGGGUCAAUUUGGUCCAAUUUCAGAGCCAUUAUAGAUCCAAAAGAAAAGCCAAUGUAACCCCUACUUUGUUAACCGGAGCUGUUCUGGCCCUUUCAGAGAGCAGUCUCAGCCCCAAUGAAGAGGUGCUUUAGAACCGAUCGAGCUGAUAUAGCUUUUUGGUGGUGCCGUUUUAUAUAGCAUUUAAAGUCAUGUGGAUUUGGUUGCACUCUUUCAUGUAGACGUAUUCUACAUGUAUAUAAUGAAUCAGGCAAAAAUAUUGGGGUUUAUUUGGUCUUGAUUAAAUUAUUACAAUUUCUCCAACAGACCAAGAUUGGAAUGAAUUAUUGCAAUAUAAGUUGAGAUAAAUGUUCCAAUUUCUGUAUUAUAAACACAAUACUAUAACUAAAAUUACAAUAUACAUGCACAGUAGUCAGUAUUAUGGAUCUCACCGAAAUGUGGGAACCAUCAAAAGAUUCGUACAUAUAUGCCAUAUUGCUCCGAAAGUUUACAAUUCUAAUUUUAAAGAGCAAUCCACUUGUGAUAGCAAUAGCAGGUGCGGUUGUUAACAUGAACGCAAUACGAAUAAUUUCUAAUACAUUACCACAGUUCGGUGAGAUGUGAGACAAUACACACAUUCCAUCAAUAACAUUAACUUGGGUUAGCAUAUGUCAACAUAACUCUCAAAAAGUGUAAAAUUACUGUAGUACUAAUACUCAUGAGUCAUGACAAGUCAUUGAA